GGAGCCUGCGGUUUAAUUGGAUUCAACGCCGGAAUCUCACCGGGGCGACAGCAAUAUGAAGGUCAGGCUGAAGACCUUACCCGAUUAGCUGAGAGGUGGUGCAUGGCCGUCGUCAGUUCGUACUGUGAAGCAUCCUGUUAAGUCAGGCAACGAGCGAGACCCACGUCCACAGUUGCCAGCAUACCCUCCGGGGUGAUGGGUACACUGUGGAGACCGCCGCUGCUAAAGCGGAGGAAGGAGUGGGCAACGGUAGGUCAGUAUGCCCCGAAUCUCCCGGGCUACACGCGGGCUACAAUGGUUGGUACAAUGGGCAUCUACCCCGAAAGGGGAAGGAAAUCUCUUAAAGCCAAUCGUAGUUCGGAUUGAGGGCUGCAACUCGCCCUCAUGAAGCUGGAAUCCGUAGUAAUCGCGUUUCAACAGAACGCGGUGAAUACGUCCCUGCUCCUU
rnacentral:rRNA from 1 species